rnacentral:rRNA from 1 species
AUACGUAGGGUGCAAGCGUUAAUCGGAAUUACUGGGCGUAAAGCGUGCGCAGGCGGUUUUGUAAGACAGUGGUGAAAUCCCCGGGCUCAACCUGGGAACUGCCAUUGUGACUGCAAGGCUGGAGUGCGGCAGAGGGGGAUGGAAUUCCGCGUGUAGCAGUGAAAUGCGUAGAUAUGCGGAGGAACACCGAUGGCGAAGGCAAUCCCCUGGGCCUGCACUGACGCUCAUGCACGAAAGCGUGGGGAGCAAACAGGAUUAGAUACCCUGGUAGUCCACGCCCUAAACGAUGCCAACUGGUUGUUGGGGAUUUAUUUUCUCAGUAACGAAGCUAACGCGUGAAGUUGACCGCCUGGGGAGUACGGCCGCAAGGUUAAAACUCAAAGGAAUUGACGGGG